AUUGAACGCUGGCGGCAGGCCUAACACAUGCAAGUCGAGCGAGCGGCGGACGGGUGAGUAAUGUAUGGGGACUGCCCGAUAGAGGGGGAUAACGACUGGACACGGUAGCUAAUACCGCAUACUAUCGGAUAACCCAUAUGGGAUUAGCUAGUAGGUGGGGGAAAGGCUCACGUAGGCGACGAUCUCUAGCUAGUCUGAGAGGAUGUUCAGCCAAACGGGGACGGAGACACGCCCCAGACUCCUACGGAGGCAGCAGUGGGGAAUAUUGCACAAUGGGCGAAAGCCUGAUGCAGCCAUGCCGCGGGUAUGAAGAAGUUCUUAGGGUUGUAAAGUACGUUCAGCGGGGAGGCGUUACCCGCAGAAGAAGCACCGGCUAACUCCGUGCCAGCAGCCGCGGUAAUUC
rnacentral:rRNA from 1 species